AUCCUACACUGAGUUAUGUACCUACACUGGAAUGUCUGUAAUGUUUUGUGACUGUGACAGAAUAUCCCACUGCAGCAGCUUAGAGUGGAGGCUCUGUCCUGAGUGCAUGUUCCACAGAGAAGGAGGCUUCGUUCCCUGAAUUCACGUCAUUACACAGAUGUGAAAAUGAGCAAGAUUCGACUGCUUCUGAGGGAGCACAGCUGCACUUGCCCUUCUGUAUGAGGCUACUUUGGUUUAACCCAACAAUAGCAUCCAGAAGUCCUGACUGUAAAUCCUAAACCGGCAUCCUUCAGGUCUUUGAAGUUGUGCACAUUGCUUGACUUCACUGAGCCUCAAAUUACCAUGAAUUUAUACAUACAGUCACCCUUCACAAAAUUAGGAAAACUCUGGUCUGUAAUGACAUCGCAUUGUUGGUUGCCUGGAUCUGAGUGGGGCCUGCUUGGGAUGUUAAAUUAAAAGGACCUUUCUGAGAUUAAGAAGAUACCGUAUUUUAAGUCUGGAGAAAGGGCUCACUCAAUGAGUAAAGCAUUGAAGACCAGAGUUCCAAUCCCCAGAGCCCAUGUAACAUCUAGGACAGUGGCAGCCUACCUGAGUCCCAGCACACUGGGACUGGUACCAGAACAGUACCAGCCAGAACGAGCUAGUCCUAAUGAUGGUGGGCUCCUGGUUCCAUGUAUGAGAUGGGGAGUAAGCUGUCCUCCACACUCAUCCACACAUACUGCAUGUGCCCACAUACUUGCAAAGAGACACAUGCAUCC
rnacentral:lncRNA from 1 species